CCCCUACUAUCCACUAUCCAGUUAUACAGACGUGAGAACAAGCUUGAAGCUUCUCAAGGGAAUACGUAUUCAAGAAAAUCUCCAAAUCAUACCCGACGGACCGUAGCCAUCCAAAUAACUACAGUGUUGGUUCCAGCUGUAUAGAUCAACCAAAUGACCAAACCUGUCCUAGUGUACCAAUAGAUAUGACUUAGUACGUCCUUGCUAAUUUAAUGGAACAAAAUUUGUGGUGAAAUGCUAUAAAGAACUCAGAACCAGUUGGAUUAUUUGUCAACCCCAUUUCCGUCACUGUUGUCUACCAUGUUCCCUCCAUAGAGUCUUCCAGGAAUUGCCUUUCCUAUUGAAUAAUGCAUAAGGUCAACUUCAUGGCCCUUGCAUGACUUGUUCGUGCAAGUAUCAGGUCCUUCUUCACACCCUCCCAUCUUGAAGUUAUGAAGUAGAAACACCUUCUCAUGCAGUCUGGUUACUAAAUCUGAAGUGAGCAACAAAAAUGUGAGAAUUAAGGUCUCAAACAAGGAAAAAGAUGUCAGACAUUUUUUGAAGAGCAACAACUAAACCGCAGAGACAGAUCUACGCUCAGAUUAACUGCAUAAAUGAUGGUGAAGAAGUAGGUAAGAAAGCACAGAUGACCUUUUGUUAUUCCAGUCAACAAUUCAAACUUUUACCCAACUAAUGUGGUUUCCAUAUAUGAUCAAACUGCUAAAUUUAAUUGAUGUUACUACUAAAUCGAAGAGACCCCACCUCUAAAUUAUUCAAUCGAUCAAUUGACCAAUCAACUAUGUUCCAAAUAAAAUCCCUAACUCCGCCUAUGGGAGCCUCAUAUUACCAUUCCCAAGUCUGGAUAAAAGGAGGAUGUUGCGAGUUAAUGGCUAACAUAACGCAUAAGAUCAAGAGUCUACCUCUAAACUAAGCUCCUUUACAUUUUUUUAAAAAAUUGCACGUGACAUUUCUUUGAUAUGUAACUUUACAUUUUGUAGGACAUGGUGUACCACAAUCC
rnacentral:lncRNA from 1 species